rnacentral:tRNA from 1 species
GGUCAUAUAGUGUAGAAGUUUGCACGCAGCGUUGUCAGCGCUGAGGUACGGGAGCAUUACCCGUUAUGAUCGC